rnacentral:rRNA from 1 species
UACAGAGGGGGCAAGCGUUGUUCGGAAUUACUGGGCGUAAAGGGCGCGUAGGCGGCCCGCUAAGUCGGGCGUGAAAUCCCCAGGCUCAACCUGGGAACUGCACUCGAAACUGCGUUUCUUGAGUAUCGGAGAGGAAAGCGGAAUUCCUGGUGUAGAGGUGAAAUUCGUAGAUAUCAGGAGGAACACCAGUGGCGAAGGCGGCUUUCUGGACGGUAACUGACGCUGAGGCGCGAAAGCGUGGGGAGCAAACAGG